rnacentral:lncRNA from 1 species
AUCUUGAACUAUUGAUUUUGCUAGUUGUGUUUUAAUAUUGUAAGUAAAUUAUUUAUGCACAUUGAUGUGCUACAGAUACUAUUCCAGUGAGCCUUGGAUUGUUCCAUUGGCCAACAUAUGCAGACAUUUGUACUAUCAAACCAUUUUCUCUAAGCAGUGGGCAUUCUACAAUUAUUCAAUCUUCCAAAAAUUCCGCCGUAUCAUAGUGAUUCAGCAUGACGUCCCUCCCUCCGUUUCAGCUUUCGGCCGCUUCCUCACAGACCACUGCAGUAGCCCUCAGUUAAUUUCUCAGAUACCUGCACCAUAUGUGACGUGCCCCAUGUUUUGUAACUGGCUUAUUGCAUAUCCUGGCAGCAUCACAAGAAUGCAACAAAACGGAAUAAACUGUUUUGUACUCCAGUAUAUAAUAACGGUGGUCCUGAUGGGGCUGGUAAAUACGUGGGUGCCUGGAGAGGCACAGGUGAGCAGUCUACAUUUCUGUGUCAUGUGGCUGUCUUAAAACUCUCCUUGCUAACAGAUGAGCACUGUUAAACAAAUACCCAUCAGCACAGUCUUUUGUUAGGAAAACUUCAAGUUCUUGCUCCCUUGUGCCUAAACCACCCACAUGUAUGAACUCAUCCACUGAAGUCAGCGGAGGCCAUGAUGUGGUUGAAGCUGUACGU